rnacentral:lncRNA from 1 species
CUCAGUAGAAACAAUAAUUCGUAACCAAUUGGAUCAAGAAAAAUUCGUAGCACAUUUCGAUUUGUUCAUUUGUAGAAUGAAUCAAGAUACCAAUGAAAAUGAGCCUAACACCAACCUAAUUGAGUCCAAUAUGAAAGCCUUGUUUGUUAAAUAUAUGGGCCUGUAAUUGGGCCAAAUGUAUGGACUACCCCAAGUUUAGGACCAGCCCAAUUAUGGUAACGGUCAAAAAAUGAGGCCACCUGGUUUUCCGCGGGGGCCGCUCACUCACACUCUAUUUGAUUCUUUCAAAACAAAAAUCCAUCUUCUUGCUCUGAUCAUUCACAAAUUAUCAUUUUCUCGUUCUUUCCCUCGCCGCGCUGGGGAGGAAUUUUCUGCACUAAUUUUCUUUCUCUGUUUCUCCAGCCCUCUUUGUAAAUCUUCAACCAGGUACCAUUUUUUAAGGUUAAUUCAAGUUUUAUUUUUAUUUUUAUUUUUUGCUGUUUUCAAUUCUUAAUUUCAUGAAAUCUAAGGGCAU